AUCACCCAUUGAACGAGACGCUACUGCUUUGGCGCGCAUUUCCGCGACGAGUUUUAAAUGUUGGGUAAGGGGAGAAAAAUCUUUGGGGCUCGUUUCGGGAUUGUUGAGAAGAGUUUCCACUCGGGAUGAGAGGUGUUUAGGUAGGUAUGACGAUGCUAAAAAGGAUAUCGCCGUGCGGACUCGGAGUAAGUGGCGCACGUCGCAAUUAGGCGGUGAGUCUUUUGUAGGGGGUGUGGUUGCAGUGUUUGGUGUAGAAACAUCAGACGCAGUAAAAGAAGCCGACGGGGUUGCAGUUGGUGUAGUGGAACUCGAUGACUGUAACUCGGACUUCUGUUGAGAAGUUUCAACGGGAUUAUUUGUAUCAUCGGUCGCGUCAGAGGGGUUUGGUGAAGUCGAA
rnacentral:sRNA from 1 species